CGACGUAAGAAUCUACCAUUCAGUGAGGAAUACCUCCGAGAAAUCGGAGUUAAUACUGCAUACGUCCCUCCGGGGAGAAAGAUGGCCUCUUUGCUGUCGCUGAUUGAUGAGCUUGCGUACUAUUAGCUAGUUGGUGGGGUAAAGGCUUACCAAGGCAGCGAUCGGUAACUGGUCUGAGAGGAUGACCAGUCACACUGGGACUGAGACACGGCCCAG
rnacentral:rRNA from 1 species